UGCUGCUUCUUCUCUUCCCUUUCGAUCUCCAUCUCAUUUCGCUUUCUUUCCCUUCAAACAGACAAUUACCCAAGCUGGGAAACCCUGUUUAUCUCUCACAGUUUAUUGAAGCAAGUGGCGUUAUGUUAUUCAUACAUGAGCACAUGAAUCUGAGGGAUGAUCCCUUGAUGCAGCUUAUUAAUUUGGCAGAGAAUGCAGAUAAGUCCAUGCCCUUUAACUCGCAUAAGCCAAGUAUUUCAAGCAUAGAAUCUGAUGUUAACACAAAAGGAAGCCGUUGUAGGAAAGGUUUUUACCCAGCCUUGGGAAGAAAGAAUGGUGGAAGCGAGGAAUCGAGUAGUAACGGCAUUAAACCACCGACUCGUCCAGUCGGGAAGAGAUAGUUGCCUUGUUUAGAAAGUACAAUCUUCAAUCGCUAAGGCUGAGAAUCAGAGGCUAAAACUAAAAGUUUCAACUCAUCGAAUGAUAAGUCCACAACUGAAUCAGUUAUGGAUGUUCUUCACAAAUCAGGAAAGAACCUACAAGACACUGGAACAAAAAAAGGUGCCAAGGCAUUGGAUGGAGAAGUGGCAACCCUAAGAAAAGGCAAGGGAAGGAGAAGGCUCCUGCUGCAAUGGAGGAAUUCAAUUAUCAAGGUCCCAUCCAAUUUUAUGAAGAGGUCGCCAAUUCCGCACCCAACAGCCUAGAACAAAGACUCCUGAGUGGAAAAUCGAAUCGUGGCAACAAAUGAGAGAUCAGAGUUGGCAAGCAUACAGAAACUAAAUAAGGAUUUCAAUUUAUCAAGGCCACCAUCUAAUUUAUGAAGAAGUCGCCAAUUCUACACCCAACAGCCCCAAGAACAAGGACUACUGAGAACUUUGAAGCAGUGUC